GUCCUUGUCGAUUAGUGGUUAAAUCAUCACGUUGUGGCAUGCCAAACCGUGAAGCCGGAGGUUCGAAUCCUCCCUGGGACA